AUUAUCUGUAAAACAUGUAACAUUAAGACGUACGAGCUAACCAAAUCAUCCGGGAUUAAUUUUCCAACAAUUGUGCAUUGAAGGUGUAUUGAGAUUCAAACCACCAUUGCAUUUCUGGAAACGGCAAUGGGAAUAAUAAAGUUUAAAUACCUCAUAUAUUUCCAAUAUUUAGUGAUCUGAACGGACAGUUUACAAAAUUUCAAAAUAUAUAUUAAUGUGACCUUAUUGAGCAUGUACCCCCUAAAUCCAUUAAAUAAAUCUUUGGUAGUUUAAAAUAAAUACAUGUAUUCAUGAAAACUUUAAAGACCCAGAAUCAACUCAAACGUGUAAAGAAAAAUACGACCUAUUUUACAAGGAUAAAAGGGAUUUAAUCGGUGAUCACAUACUGUGAUUCGCCUUAGUGCGACUACUAGUUUCUUUAGGUACUAUUAUGCGUUUUUAAAUUCGACUUUAAAAUAAUCACGUAAUCAAGGUGCGAUUACCAGUUUCUUUAGGUACAAACGUUUUUUUUCAAGUUAAAAAAACCUGAUUGUUAUGUAAACCUGAUUGUGCUGAAAAAAAAGUAUUGAUUUAAACGAACAAUGACAUUUAGGGUAUUUGGAAAUUUAAAAGUGACGUCACUUUAGGAAUUGCGAAAAGGUAAGAUCCUUAGAUCCCAGUAACCAUAAGAGAAGACAUGACCAAAAAAGGAAGAUGCAUGGAGUUGGAUGAUUGAGGUGCAACCGUUGGAACUUGUGAAAUAAGCGCAAACGGUCAAGUUCUGCAUUGAAUGAGUGAAGUACAUGCGCUUUCUUUUGUGUUAGUCUGGGUUAAUUUCAUUUUCUGUGAAAGGGUGCUUUAUAUUGGUUAUUCCCAAGCAGUGAGAAGAACACCAGAGAAACGAGGGGAAAGCGGAAAAGAUGCUUUGGAUGGAUUUUAUUGUAUUUUCUUCAAAGGUUACUAAUUAUUUGAUUAGAAUUCCUUUAUAUAAUUUAAUAAAAUAUAGUUUUAC